UACAGAGGAUGCAAGCGUUGUCCGGAAUCACUGGGCGUAAAGCGCGUGUAGGUGGAAGAGGAAGUCUGCUGUGAAAGCGCCUGGCUUAACCGGGCGAGGUCGGUGGAAACUCCUCAUCUGGAGGGCGGUAGAGGGGGGUGGAAUUCCGGGUGUAGUGGUGAAAUGCGUAGAGAUCCGGAGGAACACCUGUGGCGAAGGCGGCCCCCUGGGCCGCACCUGACGCUGAGACGCGAAAGCGCGGGGAGCGAACGGG
rnacentral:rRNA from 1 species